rnacentral:rRNA from 1 species
AUUGAACGCUGGCGGUAGGCCUAACACAUGCAAGUCGAACGCGAAAGUCCUUCGGGAUGAGUAGAGUGGCGGACGGGUGAGUAACGCGUAGGAAUCUAUCCUGUAGUGGGGGAUAACGUUUCGAAAGGAACGCUAAUACCGCAUACGCCCCAAGGGGGAAAGCGGGGGAUCUUCGGACCUCGUGCUAUAGGAGGAGCCUGCGUCGGAUUAGCUAGUUGGUGAGGUAAAGGCUCACCAAGGCGACGAUCCGUAGCUGGUCUGAGAGGAUGAUCAGCCACGCCGGAACUGAGAGACGGUCCGGACUCCUACGGGAGGCAGCAGUGGGGAAUAUUGCGCAAUGGGCGAAAGCCUGACGCAGCCAUACCGCGUGUGUGAAGAAGGCCUUCGGGUUGUAAAGCACUUUCAGUGGGGAGGAAAAGCUGGUGGCUAAUAUCCAUCGGCCGUGACGCUACCCACAGAAGAAGCACCGGCUAAUUCCGUGCCAGCAGCCGCGGUAAGAC